rnacentral:lncRNA from 1 species
UAUCACGUGUUGGAAGCACCAGAGAUAGGAAUCACAGCGAAUGCUCUGCCACUCUGCCAAGCACAGGGUCAAAGAUGGCUACGUGGAUGUUCUCAUUUGAGUACUAUUUCACGAGAAAAGCCAGUUCUAGAGAGCGGAAGUAACAUUUGGCGUUGGGAAUCAUUGCUGAUGAUUGCUAUGUGAACCACCUCCUCCUGUGGGACCCACCCAUAUCCAGAGCGAUACAAAGAUGAAUAAGAACGUUACAAAGAGUUACGGUGCCUGGAACAAAUAUUUGGCAUGGUAUAAAUAUUUUGUGAGUAAGUGAAUGCAUGAAAAGUGUUUGAAUGAGUUU